UACGUAGGUGGCAAGCGUUGUCCGGAAUUAUUGGGCGUAAAGCGCGCGCAGGCGGUCCUUUAAGUCUGAUGUGAAAGCCCACGGCUCAACCGUGGAGGGUCAUUGGAGACUGGGGGACUUGAGUGCAGAAGAGGAAAGCGGAAUUCCACGUGUAGCGGUGAAAUGCGUAGAGAUGUGGAGGAACACCAGUGGCGAAGGCGGCUUUCUGGUCUGUAACUGACGCUGAGGCGCGAAAGCGUGGGGAGCAAAAAGG
rnacentral:rRNA from 1 species